UGAUGACUUAAUCAUGGAGCAAUAUUGUCAACAAGGUGACAACAUGGGCACGGGCUAGGGCAAAAAUUCAGCAGCACAAAUUAAUAACAUGGACAUUGCCUCGUGUGGAGGGCUUCACAAGUACAUGAUUGGCAUGGUAAUGAUGAUGAGCAUGAUAAACAUGAUGAGCAUGGUAAGCAAGCAUAAAAAUAGCAUGGUGAAAAUUAAUGAUAAUAAGCAUAGAUAUAUUAAUACAUGGCCAUGGAAGAUGAGUGAUAGAG
rnacentral:lncRNA from 1 species